GGGGGGGGGGGGGGGGGGGGCGGGGGGGGGCGGGGGGGGGGGGGCGUUCGGGGCGGGGGGCGCGCGGGUGCGUACGGCGUGGGGACCUGCCGUUAGGGUCGGGAUAACUCCCCGAAAGGGGUGCUGAUACCGGGUAAUGUCUUCGGGCCAACGGUUUAGCGCCUUUGGAUGGGCCCGCGUUGGAUUCGCUCGUUGGUAGGGGAAAAGCCUACCAAGGCGACCAUCCAUAGCUUGUCUGAGAGGAGGCUCAGCCACACUGGGACUGAGACACGGCCCAGACUCCUACGGGAGGCAGCAGUGGGGAAUAUUGGACAAGGGGCGAAAGCCUGAUCCAGCAAUGCAGCGUGAGUGAUGAAGGCCUUAGGGUUGUAAAGCUCUUUUACCCGGGAUGAUAAUGACAGUACCGGGAGAAUAAGCUCCGGCUAACUCCGUG
rnacentral:rRNA from 1 species